AGUGAACGCUGGCGGCAGGCCUAACACAUGCAAGUCGAACGGCAGCACAGUGGAGCUUGCUCCAUGGGUGGCGAGUGGCGGACGGGUGAGGAAUACAUCGGAAUCUGCCCAGUCGUGGGGGAUAACAUAGGGAAACUUAUGCUAAUACCGCAUACGACCUACGGGUGAAAGCGGGGGAUCGCAAGACCUCGCGCGAUUGGAUGAGCCGAUGUCCGAUUAGCUAGUUGGCAGGGUAAUGGCCCACCAAGGCGACGAUCGGUAGCUGGUCUGAGAGGAUGAUCAGCCACACUGGAACUGAGACACGGUCCAGACUCCUACGGGAGGCAGCAGUGGGGGAUAUUGGACAAUGGGCGCAAGCCUGAUCCAGCCAUGCCGCGUGGGUGAAGAAGGCCUUCGGGUUGUAAAGCCCUUUUGUCUGGAAAGAAACGCCUCGGAUUAAUACUCUGGGGUAAUGACGGUACCGGAAGAAUAAGCACCGGCUAACUUCGUGCCAGCCGCCGCCGUAA
rnacentral:rRNA from 1 species